UACGAAGGGUGCAAGCGUUACUCGGAAUUACUGGGCGUAAAGCGUGCGUAGGUGGUUUGUUAAGUCUGAUGUGAAAGCCCUGGGCUCAACCAGGGAACUGCAUUGGAAACUGGCUUACUAGAGUGCGGUAGAGGGGUGUGGAAUUCCCGGUGGUAGCAGUGGAAAUGCGUAGAUAUCGGGAGGAACAUCUGUGGCGAAGGCGACACCCUGGACCAGCACUGACACUGAGGCACGAAGCGUGGGGAGCAACAGGAUAGAU
rnacentral:rRNA from 1 species